CAACGGUGAAACUCAAAGGAAUUGACGGGGGCCCGCACAAGCGGAGGAACAUGUGGUUUAAUUCGAUGAUACGCGAGGAACCUUACCCGGGCUUAAAUUGCAGAUGAAUUACGGUGAAAGCCGUAAGCCGCAAGGCAUCUGUGAAGGUGCUGCAUGGUUGUCGUCAGCUCGUGCCGUGAGGUGUCGGCUUAAGUGCCAUAACGAGCGCAACCCUUGUUGUCAGUUACUAACAGGUCCCGCUGAGGACUCUGACAAGACUGCCAUCGUAAGAUGUGAGGAAGGUGGGGAUGACGUCAAAUCAGCACGGCCCUUACGUCCGGGGCUACACACGUGUUACAAUGGCAGGUACAGCGGGAAGCCAUACGGCGACGUAGCGCAGAACCCGAAAACCUGUCUCAGUUCGGAUUGGAGUCUGCAACUCGACUCCAUGAAGCUGGAUUCGCUAGUAAUCGCGCAUCAGCCACGGCGCGGUGAAUACGUUCCCGGGCCUUGUACACACCGCCCGUCAAGCCAUGGAAG
rnacentral:rRNA from 1 species